AACGCUCUACAGAGGCGUUCGAACGCUGGGCGUACGUAGCAGCAAAAAUGGGUUUCUAAAACUUACUAAAAACUUCUCUAACACAAUACCAAACUUCUCCAAAGUUUUCAAGGUUUAAAUAUGCACCGAAAGGGCAACAAUAACUCAAAAUGAGGAAGGAAGAACCAUUUAAACAAGAGGGAUCUAAGAUUGAAACUUAAAACCCUAACUUUUCAAAAUUUUAUAAUUUCAAAUCAAAACACUUACAUAUCUCAAUGUGCAGCUUAAAGCUCCAAACCUUAACUAAUUGGGACUCAAAUGAAUCUUUCCAACCCAACUUAAACUCUUUUAGAUACAUCAAAAUCAAAAGCCCCCAAAUCCUUAAUCAUAUACAUCCACUCAUACAUAUAUUUAAAAUGUUAAGGUGCUACCUCUCUUCAAGCUUAAUGGUAUCUCCCAAUGGCUUCUCUUGGCUUGGUUUUGGACUCUCCAAGCUUUCUCUUCCUUUCUUCUUCUCUUUCUCCUCUCUCUUUUUCUAUGUAUGUGGGUGUUGUGUUGUGUAUGUGUGGGAGUGUAAUGACUAAGACACACAUGGGAAUUAAGCCGAUGUGCUCCCCUUCAAGGGUUUUAGUUAUAACCUACUCUCAUAUUAGUCACCUUGAACCUAGAUAAAAAAAACAUUAACUAACAUAUGACUCAUAAUUUACAUAAAUAAAGAAAAUAAAUGGGUUUGGGGUAUUACAUUCCUAGCAUUAAGUUCAUUUGUAGACAAAGUGACUUUCCUCAAGACCAAGUCACCAGGCAGAAAUGACCUUUGAAGAUGGUUGGAGAUGGCGAGGUCCGAACAAAAUAGUUUGAAUCCAUUGUUGUCGAAUAGUUUUGCGUUGUCGGAGACGACAACCUUCAGAAUCCCAAAUUGAUAAACGAUGUUUUUUUAAACAAAAUUCUUGGUGUUCCUUUCAGUAAUUUUGGCAAGAGGUACUGCCUUUACCUACUUCGUGAAGUAGUCUAUGGCAACAAUUAAGAAUUUUUUCUCUGUAAUAGAGCUUGAGAUAGAGGUCCGAACACGUCUAUCCCUCAUUGAGCAAAUGGCUAUAGACUAGUCAUUAGGACCAUCUCGGUAGGGGGAAGACAACUAAAUGGAGCGAACCUCUGACAUUUGUCGUAUUUUCUAGUAAACGCCAUUGCACCUUGUUCCAUAUAAGGCCAAAAAUAUCAUUGGGGAACUGCCUUUUUAAUCAGUGAUCUAGCCCAGAAAUAAUUUUUGCAUAUGUCUUUGUAAAUCUCUUUAAGCACAUAAUUUGCUUCCUCAGGUUGGAGAUAUCUCAAGAGUGGAUCUUGAAAAAGGCCUCUUAUACAAUUUCCCGUGGAGGAGGAAAAAUCUAGUUAACCAAUAUUGAAUCUGUCGUGUUUGGAGUUUGUCUAAUGGUAGCUCCCCAUCUUUAAGAUAUGUGAUGAUGUCAUCCAUCCAAUCGGGUUUGUUGUUGCUUGACAAACGGUUUUAGCAAUGUCAAUACUUAGGUUUGGCAAGAAUUCUAGAGGAACACUCCUAUUUGAGAUGAAAUCAAAAGAUGAGGUUAGGUUAGCCAGGGCAUUAACUUUCUUGUUUUCCUAUCUAGGAAUUUGGCGGAUCUUGAAAUCUUUGAUCUUCAUUGAUAUGGCCUUCACCUCAUCCAGAUAGGCCAUCAUUCGGAAAUCUUUGGUGAGGUAAUCUCCUUAUACUUGAUUUAUCACAAGCUGAGAAUCACUAUAGACGUCUAAGGAUUCUACCUCAACUCAGUUGCGACUCUCAAAUUGGCGAUAAGAACUUUAUAUUCGGCCGCGUUGUCGGUGGCUUUAAACCCAAUACGUAUAGCAUACUCCAUCUGCUCUCUUGAAGGGUUUUGGAGAAUGGGUCCUGCACCACAGCCAUGCUGGUUGGAUGACCCAUCUAUGAACAACUUCCACCUGGCGAGAUCAUCAUCUUAGUUCUAAUCCUUUAGGGCUUCCAUCUCAGGAUUUGGAGCAACAUCAUAAGUGAACUCGACUAUGAAAUUAGCCAAUGCUUGGACCUUGAUCAUCAUUCUUGGUUGAUAAUUGAUGUGGAAUUCGCUUAACUCAAUGGACCACUUGAGUAAUCGCCCGGAGGUAUCAAAUCGUUGGAGAAUUCGCUUAUAGGGUUGAUCUAUAAAUACAACAAUAGGAUGCACCUAGAAAUAGUGGCAGGGCUUUCUCGCAGCGAUCGUAGGGGCGUAAGCAAGCUUCUCGAUCUUUAGGUAUCUAGUCUCAGCCCCUAUGAAGACUUUGCUAACAUAAUACCCUGACUUUGAACUUUGUCUUCUUUCUUGACAAGCAUUGCGCUCAACGUGAUAGGCGACACAGACAUAUAUAGGAUGAGCUCUUUACUUGUAUUGCAGACUAUGAGUACAAGAGGCAAUUCCAUAUACUUUUUCAACUAUUGGAAUGCC
rnacentral:lncRNA from 1 species